rnacentral:rRNA from 1 species
UACGAAGGGGCUAGCGUUGCUCGGAAUCACUGGGCGUAAAGCGCACGUAGGCGGACUCUUAAGUCAGGGGUGAAAUCCUGGAGCUCAACUCCAGAACUGCCUUUGAUACUGGGAGUCUUGAGUUCGGGAGAGGUGAGUGGAACUGCGAGUGUAGAGGUGAAAUUCGUAGAUAUUCGCAAGAACACCAGUGGCGAAGGCGGCUCACUGGCCCGAUACUGACGCUGAGGUGCGAAAGCGUGGGAGCAACAGG